UACGGGGGGGGCAAGCGUUAUUCGGAAUUACUGGGCGUAAAGGGUUCGUAGGUGGCUUGUUAAGUCAGACGUGAAAUCCCUCAGCUUAACUGGGGAACUGCGUCUGAGACUGGUGAGCUUGAGUGCAGGAGAGGAACGCGGAAUUCCAGGUGUAGCGGUGAAAUGCGUAGAUAUCUGGAGGAACACCGGUGGCGAAGGCGGCGUUCUGGACUGCAACUGACAUUGAUGAACGAAAGCUAGGGGAGCAAGCGGG
rnacentral:rRNA from 1 species